rnacentral:rRNA from 1 species
AACCGGCUCUGGCUGGUCAGCGGCCGCCAGAGGACUCAAAACUCAUAUUAUUAUUGUCGUCUGAGUACUAUAUAAUAGUUAAAACUUUCAACAACGGAUCUCUUGGUUCUGGCAUCGAUGAAGAACGCAGCGAAAUGCGAUAAGUAAUGUGAAUUGCAGAAUUUAGUGAAUCAUCGAAUCUUUGAACGCACAUUGCGCCCUGUGGUAUUCCGCAGGGCAUGCCUGUUCGAGCGUCAGUACAACACUCAAGCUCUGCUUGGUAUUGAGCCCCGCCGGUCACACGGUCGGGCUCUAAAACUAGUGGCGGUGCCAUUGGGCUCUCAGCGUAGUAAUACUUUUCGCUGUAGGGUCCCGGUGGACGCUGGCCAGCAACCCCCAACUUCUAAGUUUGACCUCGGAUCAGGUAGG